rnacentral:siRNA from 1 species
CGGGGUUAGAUGGUCGGACGGG